AACUAAGACUACAUGUCUGUUUUCUCUGCAAACCCAGAGACUCGCUGCCCCCUGGUGGUUAAAUUUAAAUCCAAGCAGUGUAGAGAAACCUAUACCUGUCGUUAACUUGCAUAGCCUGUAAUGUAAGAACCAUAUCAUCACUGCUCCACUAAGCAUGCAUAGAUUACCUAUAAAAGUUUUAUUCACCUGUACCAAACCUGUUAUAUCUUGAAAAUAUAAAUGUGCUGAUUACUCUGCCAUGACACUGUAUGACGUUGAAUAGCUUGUACACGCCGUCGUAGCGAUGCAAGCAUGUUGUAAC